GACGAACUGUCCUAACGUUGUUCGGAAUCACUGGGCUUAAAGGGCGCGUAGGCGGUCCGACAAGUCAGGGGUGAAAUCCUGCAGCUUAACUGCAGAAGUGCCUUUGAUACUGUCGGUCUUUGAGGGAGAUAGGGGUGUGCGGAACUCACAGUGGAGCGGUGAAAUGCGUUGAUAUUGUGAGGAACGCCGGAGGCGAAAGCGGCGCACUGGAUCUCUUCUGACGCUGAGGCGCGAAAGCUAGGGGAGCAACGGG
rnacentral:rRNA from 1 species